GUGAAUUCGGCAGUGGCGUAGGCCAGGAGUCGUCUAACUAUUUUGACAUGUUAUGUGGAACACUUACACACAGACAUUUAACCUUUAUUCAAAUUAAUUAA